rnacentral:lncRNA from 1 species
AAUUAAAUAGCAAUAAUAUGGUGAUAUAACAAGGAAUCCAUGUUGACAAAUGGAUAGCAACUUGCACCUGCAACUAGCAAUGCUAUAACAAGGGUUGAGCAAGCGGUAACAUAGCAAAACAAGGUUUGCUCGAAUGCGGAGGGGGUUAUAGGCUUUUCAUGGCAAUGUUGGGAGGCUGACAUGUAAGUGGUAGGAGUGAUAGAAACGAGACAACUAGUAUAUCAAUUAUACUAGUGGUAUCUAGGGAAAUAAUAAUCUUUCCUGUAAUCCCACUUGGAAUAAGAAUGAAUUCAUGAAGCACACAAACCAACAUAGUCAAACAAAUCCUCACACUCCGAAGCGGUUCGUAACUCUAUCGAGAAGAAACAAUCCGGGAAGAACAAUCAACACACAAUAAACACCAUAACAUAUGCAUGACACAAUGCGCAACCAUAUAUGA